CGUGGCGAACGGGUGCGUAACACGUGGGCAACCUUCCCUCAUGUGGGGGAUAACCCGCCGAAAGGCGGGCUAAUACCGCAUAACAUUCCGAUGGCGAUUGCUGUUGGAUUCAAAGCUCGCAAGAGCGCAAGAGGAGGGGCCCGCGGCCGAUUAGCUUGUUGGCGAGGUAAUGGCUCACCAAGGCAAUGAUCGGUAGCCGGUCUGAGAGGAUGAUCGGCCACACUGGAACUGAGACACGGUCCAGACUCCUACGGGAGGCAGCAGUGGGGAAUCUUGCGCAAUGGGCGAAAGCCUGACGCAGCAACGCCGCGUGGGGGAUGAAGCUUCUCGGAGUGUAAACCCCUUUCGACCCGGACGAAUGCCCGCAAGGGCUUGACGGUACGGGUAUAAGAAGCCCCGGCUAACUACGUGCCAGCAGCCGCGGUAAAACGUAGGGGGCCAGCGUUGCUCGGAAUUACUGGGCGUAAAGGGUCCGUAGGCGGUGUGGCAAGUCGGAAGUGAAAUCUCUGGGCUUAACUCAGAGGCUGCUUCCGAAACUGCCGUGCUAGAGUGCGAGAGAGGCAAGUGGAAUUGCGGGUGUAGCGGUGAAAUGCGUAGAUAUCUGCAGGAACACCCGUGGCGAAGGCGGCUCGCUGGACCGCAACUGACGCUGAGGAACGAAAGCUAGGGGAGCAAACAGGAUUAGAUACCCUGGUAGUCCUAGCCCUAAACCAUCAGGACUUGGGGUGGCCCGCGUUGGCGGGUCGUCCCGGAGCUAACGCGUUAAGUCCUGCGCCUGGGGAGUACGGUCGCAAGGCUGAAACUCAAAGGAAUUGACGGGGGCCCGCACAAGCGGUGGAACAUGUGGUUCAAUUCGA
rnacentral:rRNA from 1 species